rnacentral:rRNA from 1 species
GACGAACGCUGGCGGCGUGCUUAACACAUGCGAGUCGAACGCUGAAGCUCAGCUUUUGUUGGGUGGAUGAGUGGCGAACGGGUGAGUAACACGUGAGUAACCUGCCCCCUUCUUUGGGAUAACGCCCGGAAACGGGUGCUAAUACUGGAUAUUCACUGGUCUUCGCAUGGGGGUUGGUGGAAAGGGUUUUUCUGGUGGGGGAUGGGCUCGCGGCCUAUCAGCUUGUUGGUGGGGUGAUGGCCUACCAAGGCUUUGACGGGUAGCCGGCCUGAGAGGGUGACCGGUCACAUUGGGACUGAGAUACGGCCCAGACUACUACGGGAGGCAGCAGUGGGGAAUAUUGCACAAUGGGCGCAAGCCUGAUGCAGCGACGCCGCGUGAGGGAUGGAGGCCGUCGGGUUGUGAACCUCUUUCGCUCAUGGUCAAGCCGCAACAAUGGUUGUGGUGAGGGUAGUGGGUAAAGAAGCGCCGGCUAACUACGUG